rfam:Schistosoma curassoni strain Dakar, Senegal genome assembly, scaffold: SCTD_scaffold0004136
AUCCGGCUGACGAAUCCUUAAUAGGACGAAAUUUACAUCCUGGAU